UACGUAGGGUGCGAGCGUUGUCCGGAAUUACUGGGCGUAAAGAGCUCGUAGGCGGUAUGUCGCGUCUGCUGUGAAAGACCGGGGCUUAACUUCGGUUUUGCAGUGGAUACGGGCAUGCUUGAGGUAGGUAGGGGAGACUGGAAUUCCUGGUGUAGCGGUGAAAUGCGCAGAUAUCAGGAGGAACACCGGUGGCGAAGGCGGCUUUCUGGCCAGUUACUGACGCUCAUGCGCGAGAGCUGGGUUAGCGAACCGGAUUAGAUACCCCGGUA
rnacentral:rRNA from 1 species